rnacentral:misc_RNA from 1 species
GGAAUUUUUAACACAUUAAUAUCUUCAAUCUCGCAUCUAAUGACUGUCUGAAUUGAGAUACAUAGCUCUGGUAUCGCUUUCUGCGAAAGCGAUAUCAAUCUGAUGUUGAGAGUCAUGAUGUCGUGAGGAAAGGAAGAGAGGCUUGGGAGGCAUUUCAAUUACAUCAACAUUUCCAGAUAACAUUUCUACCACUCUUUUCAUCGAGGGACGAUCUUUAGGAUUUAUUUGAACGCACCAUAGACCGACCAUAACCAUCUUCCUCAAUAUGCAAGCAUCUUCCACCACAAGCUCUAUCUGAUCUCUACCAUUCCCUUGAAUACCUUCAACUAAUAAAUCAUGUAUCCAACCUGGAAAGUAUGCUUCACUUGAAGAGCUUUUUAGAUUUAGUUCAGCAGUGUUUUUUGUCCCAGCCAUCUCUAAUAGCAACAUCCCAUAGCUGUAGACAUCAGACUUAUGGGAAGGUUUGCCAAGUUUUCUCAUGAAAAUUUCAGGAGCAAUAUAACCAAUGGUUCCUCUUACACAUGUCAUUGUUACUGCACUUCUACUUCUAGAGUAAAUUUUUGCUAAUCCAAAAUCGGAGAUUUUCGGGUUGAAAUUCUCAUCUAGCAACACAUUUUGAGGCUU